GACGAACGCUGGCGGCGUGCCUAAUACAUGCAAGUCGAACGCAGUGGGGACGGGUGAGUAACACGUGGGUAGCAUCCCAUCAGAGGGGAAAACACUUGGAAACAGGUACUAAACCGAUACUGAUGGAUGAACCGGCGGUGCAUUAGCUAGUUGGUGAGGUAACGGCUCACCAAGGCGACGAUGCAUAGCCGGUCUGAGAGGGUGAUCGGCAACACUGGAACUGAGACACGGCCCAGACUCCUACGGGAGGCAGCAGUGGGGAAUAUUCGGCAAUGGACGAAAGUCUGAUCGAGCCAUGCCGCGUGAGUGAAGAAGGUUUUCGGGUCGUAAAACACUGUCGUCAGAGAAGCGGUACCUAACCAGAAAGCAACGGCUAACUACGUGCCAGCCGCCGCGGUAAUUC
rnacentral:rRNA from 1 species